AGAGUUUGAUCAUGGCUCAGGACGAACGCUGGCGGCGUGCCUAAUACAUGCAAGUCGAGCGAAUCUUGAGGUGCUUGCACCUCUUGGUUAGCGGCGGACGGGUGAGUAACACGUGGGCAACCUGCCUGUAAGACUGGGAUAACUUCGGGAAACCGGAGCUAAUACCGGAUAAUCCUUUUCCUCUCAUGAGGAAAAGCUGAAAGUCGGUUUACGCUGACACUUACAGAUGGGCCCGCGGCGCAUUAGCUAGUUGGUGAGGUAACGGCUCACCAAGGCGACGAUGCGUAGCCGACCUGAGAGGGUGAUCGGCCACACUGGGACUGAGACACGGCCCAGACUCCUACGGGAGGCAGCAGUAGGGAAUCUUCCGCAAUGGACGAAAGUCUGACGGAGCAACGCCGCGUGAGCGAUGAAGGCCUUCGGGUCGUAAAGCUCUGUUGUUAGGGAAGAACAAGUGCCGGAGUAACUGCCGGUACCUUGACGGUACCUAACCAGAAAGCCACGGCUAACUACGUGCCAGCAGCCGCGGUAAUACGUAGGUGGCAAGCGUUGUCCGGAAUUAUUGGGCGUAAAGCGCGCGCAGGCGGUCCUUUAAGUCUGAUGUGAAAGCCCACGGCUCAACCGUGGAGGGUCAUUGGAAACUGGGGGACUUGAGUACAGAAGAGGAAAGCGGAAUUCCACGUGUAGCGGUGAAAUGCGUAGAGAUGUGGAGGAACACCAGUGGCGAAGGCGGCUUUCUGGUCUGUAACUGACGCU
rnacentral:rRNA from 1 species